CCCCUGCCUGCCCGCCGCGGAGGCGCGCAGAGAGGCCGGCGCGGGUGGCGGGAGGCGGCUCCAGGGGCCGGCACGGCCUCGGGCGCUCCGGGCGGGGAAAGGGGCCUCGCCGCGGGAGGACCCGCCUGGUGUUGACAACAUGGCAGCAUCCAGCCGGGCCCAGGUGCUGCGGUUGUACCGGGCCCUGCUGCGGGAGAGCCAGCGCUUCAGCGGCUACAACUACAGAUUUGCUGAACUGAACAUGCGGUGCUUUGCUAUAAAUGAGGGAAGGUCAUUGAGCCAUAUGGUGAUGGGAGGUCCAGCAGGGGAUGUUUGUCACUACCGACUGAGAAUGUAUGCCAUCAGAAGGAUAAGAGAUGCCUUCAAAGAAAACAAGAAUAUAAAGGAUUCUGAAAAAAUAGAAGAAUUAGUGAAAAAAGCCAAAGCAAACCUAGAGGUUAUUCAUCGGCAGGUAAUUCUUCAGUUGCAUAUAUGCGACGAAGAUGGUUUAAGGGUCGCUUAGUAUGAAGAUGCUUUUUGGUGUUGAGUGCUGCUACAUGACAUUCUUCGUCAUCAAAAGACUGACUCUUUGCUCUCCUAUGACAUCCUAAUAUUUAGCAUACUAGUGAGACUGAAUUCUUGUAGACCAAAUUAUGGAAAGUCAGGUUACUAUUGGCCAACUCUAUUCCACACAGAAACUGGUUAUUGAGAGUCCAGGAAACACAUAGCUAUGAGAAGACCCUGAUCCUGAAGCAACACUGGACCAUUCUCAGCAUCCUACAGUGCCACAUACAGAUGCACAAACUCACUGCACAUGUCUGAGCUUUUCUGUUCAGCAGAAGAAAUGCCUUGAGAGACUGUUUUUGGCAACCAAAGUACUGUUUUCUAAUGGCUCACCUGUUCUGAAAUAUAUUGCUGUGAUUUAUAGUAGCAUGUUAAGGUAGUUUUGAAACCUGUUGGCUUAUAUGUCCCAUGUGAUGGAAUAGUUCCUCCUCUACUUUGACAAUAAAACUUCAUUAAACUACCUGUAACCAGA